rnacentral:rRNA from 1 species
GAAGAAGUUAUUAAGGGCGUGCGGGGAAUGCCUAGGCUCUCGGAGGCGAAGAAGGACGUGAUAAGCUGCGAUAAGGUUCGGGGAUCUGCACAUUAGAGUUGAUCCGAACAUUUCCGAAUGGGACAACCCACUUGAUUGAAGAUCAAGUAUCCUUAGGGAGGCCAACCUGGUGAACUGAAACAUCUAAGUAACCAGAGGAAAAGAAAACAAAAGUGAUUCCGCAAGUAGUGGCGAGCGAACGCGGAACAGCCCAAACCAGUUCCGUUACGGCGGGAUUGGGGUUGUAGGACUGCUUAUUAGGAGCUAAUUGAAGUUGAAUGAUCUGGGAAGGUCGGCCAUAGCAGGUGAUAGCCCUGUAGACGUAAAGGUUAGUGACGUAGCAGUAUCCUGAGUAGGUGGGGACCGGUGAAAUCCCCUCUGAAUCCGGCGGCACCAUCCGCCAAGGCUAAAUACUCCCGAGAGACCGAUAGUGAACGAGUACCGUGAGGGAAAGGUGAAAAGUACCCCGAACAGGGGGGUGAAAAGACCCUGAAACCGCACGCUUACAAGCGGUCGGAGCUUCGUAAUGAAGUGACGGCGUGCCUUUUGCAUAAUGACCCUACGAGUUGCGGUUACUGGCCAGGUUAAGUAUUGAAGAUACGGAGCCGAAGCGAAAGCGAGUCUGAAAAGGGCGAAACUAGUCAGUGGCUGCAGACGCGAAACUUUGUGAUCUACCCAUGACCAGGUUGAAGUGUCGGUAACACGACAUGGAGGACCGAACCAGUUGACGUUGAAAAGUCUUUGGAUGAGUUGUGGGUAGGGGUGAAAGGCCAAUCAAACUGAGAGAUAGCUCGUACUCCCCGAAAUGUUUUUAGGAACAGCCUUGGGAUAGAGUUAUACGGAGGUAAAGCUACCGAUAGGACUAGGGGGAGUCAAAUCCUACCAAAUCCUGACGAACUCUGAAUGCCGUAUAAUAUGCCCAGGAGUGAGGGCUGGGGUGCUAAGGUCCCAGUCCGAGAGGGAAAGAACCCAGACCAUCCGCUAAGGCCCCUAAAUCAGGGCUAAGUUGAACAAAGGAGGUCCGACUGCAGAGACAGCCAGGAUGUUAGCUUGGAAGCAGCUAUUCAUUUAAAGAGUGCGUAACAGCUCACUGGUCGAGCGGGGCGGGCAUCGAUAAUAAACGGGCAUCAAGUCUUGUGCCGAAGCGAUGGAAGUAGUAAUACUUGGUAGGGGAGCAUUCUCAGGACAGUGAAGGUGUCGCGGCAAGCGAUGCUGGAGUGCUGAGAAAAGCAAAUGUAGGGAUAAGUAACGAUAAGAAAGGUGAGAAACCUUUCCGCCGUAAGGAUCAGGAUUCCUCAGCUAUGCUAAUCAACUGAGGGUUAGUCGGGGGCUAAGGGGUUAGCGAAAGCGAAGCUUCGAUGCACAGCAGGUUAAUAUUCCUGCACUUACACUGGUGCGAGACAAUGACGGAGCAUAUGGGUUCCUACGUACGGACGGAAGUGUGCGUGGAGCUGAGCCCGCAAGGGCAAGGCGAAGGGACGAGUAUUCUUCCAAGAAAAGUUGUUUAGCUAUAGCCAGCCGUAACCCGUACCGUAAACCGACACAGGUAUCCGGGUAGAACAUACCAAGGCGCUCGAGUGAAUCACGGCUAAGGAACUCGGCAAAUUAACCCUGUAACUUCGGGAUAAGGGGAACCACAGCGAUGUGGUCGCAGAGAAAUGGCCCAGGCGACUGUUUAACAAAAACACAGGGCUUUGCUAAAACGAAAGUUGACGUAUAAGGCCUGACACCUGCCCGGUGCUGGAAGGUUAAGAGGGGAUGUUAGUCGCAAGGCGAAGCAUUGAAUCGAAGCCCCAGUAAACGGCGGCCGUAACUAUAACGGUCCUAAGGUAGCGAAAUUCCUUGUCGGGUAAGUUCCGACCUGCACGAAUGGUGUAACGAUCUGGGCACUGUCUCAGCCGUGAGCUCGGUGAAAUUGUAGUAGCGGUGAAGAUGCCGCUUACCCGCCACGGGACGGAAAGACCCCGUGAACCUUCACUACAGUUUUGCACUGACUUUUGGUAACUGGUGUGUAGGAUAGGUGGGAGGCUAUGAGUCGGUGUCGCUAGGCAUCGAGGAGCCAACGUUGAAAUACCACCCUCCGGUUGCUGGGAGUCUAACAUUAGAUUGGACAAUGCAUGAUGGGUAGUUUGACUGGGGUGGUCGCCUCCAAAAAAGUAUCGGAGGCUUUCAAAGGUACCCUCAGCACGCUUGGUAACCGUGCGUAGAGUGCAAUCGCAGAAGGGUGCUUGACUGUGAGGCAAACAGGCCGAGCAGGCACGAAAGUGGGAGAUAGUGAUCCGGCGGUUUCCGAAUGGAAGGGCCGUCGCUCAAAGGAUAAAAGGUACUCCGGGGAUAACAGGCUGAUCUCCCCCAAGAGCUCACAUCGACGGGGAGGUUUGGCACCUCGAUGUCGGCUCGUCACAUCCUGGGGCUGGAGAAGGUCCCAAGGGUUCGGCUGUUCGCCGAUUAAAGUGGCACGCGAGCUGGGUUCAGAACGUCGUGAGACAGUUCGGUCCCUAUCUGUGGUGGGCGUUGGAAUUUUGAGAGGGCUUGACCUUAGUACGAGAGGACCGGGUUGAACCGACCGCUGGUAGACCAGUUGUUCCGCCAGGAGCACCGCUGGGUAGCCACGUCGGGUGAAGAUAAGCGCUGAAAGCAUCUAAGUGCGAAACUUGCCUCAAGAUGAGAAUUCCUAUGAGAGCCGUCAGAGACGAUGACGUUGAUAGGCUACAGGUCUAAAGUUGGUGACAACAAAGCCGAGUAGUACUAAUGCCUCCAAGACUUCUUUUU